rnacentral:rRNA from 1 species
CAGGGCUUGACAUCUAUGGAAUCUCCUAGAAAUAGGAGAGUGCCUUAGGGAACCAUAAGACAGGUGCUGCACGGUCGUCGUCAGCUCGUGCUAUGAAGUGUCCCGUUAAGUCGGUUAACGAGCGCAACCCCUGCUGUUUGUUGAAUUUUUCAAACAGGACUGCCGGCGUUAAGUCGGAGGAAGGUGGGGAUGACGUCAGAUCAGCGUGGCUCUUACGCCCUGGGCGACACUCGUGUUACAAUGGGUAGCAACAAAGGGUUGCGAAGCUGUAAAGCGGAGCUAAUCCCAUAAACCUACCCCCAGUUCGGAUUGAGGGCUGCAACUCGCCCUCAUGAAGUCGGAAUCGCUAGUAAUCGUAGGUCAGCCAUACUACGGUGAAUACGUUCU